rnacentral:ncRNA from 1 species
GAAGUGUAGUGUAACAUUAUUUUAUCGUGUUUUUAUAAAUAUUAAAACUUGAACUAGUGCAUAAAACGGCUAAAAAUAUACCAUCUUUUACGUGCACACCACACCACGUCAAGGCUACAUUGAUGUAUUCAACGAUUAUAUAGCCUCGGCCGAUAGGCCCAGGAAAUCUUCGAAAUUUCAUCGUGAUGAGGAUAGAUCAUUGUAAUUAUUGGUGUAAAACGAUAAAUUCCUUAUAAGCCAGAGUAAUCAGCUAGCAUUGACUAC